rnacentral:tRNA from 1 species
AAACUAUUAAGUUUUGUUUUGAAAACAAAAGUAAAGAAUUGUUUCUUGUAGUU